AUUAUAUAUUUUAACAUAAAAAAUUAUUUAAAAAGUAAUCAUAACCACUUACAAACAUGCAUACCAGGAGGGUUGCUUCUUUAGCCAUCCAGAGUAGAACCAGUAUGCGUGGAGCUUGGAAUCUCCGUGCAGAUUUUUUUGUUGGGUUUUGUGUUGGUUUAUGCGGUGCUUAUGUUGUUUUGGGUGCUUAGCUUAGCUGGGAACCUUUUGUUGCUGCUGAGCUCCUCUUUUCUUCCAAUCUUUUGAUUCUUUGAGGCUCAGUGUCAUUUGGCAGGGGGGCUCUCAGCUAAGCUCGAUUCUGUUGUGUAUGGCCCUCUGAUUGUCUUUGCUUGAACACCUUUCAAGCUGCUGGGCGUUCCUCUUGGUUCAGCUUGGUUCACAUUGCCGUGAGCUUCUUUUAUGCUUUAGUUGUAAGGUGUUGCCGCCUUCUUUUUUGUUGCCUCUAUUCCAUGCCUUUGAAGGACACCUUUGUUCUUUCUUUUCAUGCUCUUUCAGUCUUUUUGCUUGGUUGCAUUUUCCUCUUUCAGAUUUCUGUUGUUCCCUUCAUUUACAUGCUUUUUUCAUGCUUGACAUUUUUUCACCUGCCAGCCACCUACAAUAUUUUGUUCAUUCACCGGCACUUGCUUUUAUUACGUGCAGGAAAUCUGUGUAGCAUUUCAUUCCUUUCUGCCUCUCAGAAGGCUUCUUGAGAUUAAUUCGAUAACGUGCUUUUACUGUUUUCAUUUAUGGUUUUUCCAUGGCUGUUAUAAAAUGCACCUUCUCACUCUUGCCUGUAUUGUUAACUGUUAAUCAUAACUUACUUAACCAUCAUGAAAACUGGUUGUUGAUGUGUUAAGCUGUAGAAGAACAACAGGUCACAGAGAAGCAACGAGAUUGUAUCUCAAAUGACCAUACUGCAACAAACUAGCUACCCAAUAUUCAAAGUUUUGAAAUCAACAAGAUUGUAUCUGUUUAAGUUGAAUUUUAAACUCGUGUGAUAUACAUGCAAAUAUGUGGGAUAGCAGUUAGUAUUAUUUUCUAUUUAAACUCUCUAUAAAUACACAUACACAUAGUAAUACAAGAGAACAUUACAGCAUUUUAGCAUUCUUCUUCACAA